rnacentral:rRNA from 1 species
UACAGAGGUGGCAAGCGUUGUUCGGAAUUACUGGGCGUAAAGGGCGCGUAGGCGGCCUUCUAAGUCAGACGUGAAAUCUCCGGGCUUAACUCGGAAAGGUCAACUGAUACUGUGCGACUAGAGUGCGGAAGGGGCAACUGGAAUUCUCGGUGUAGCGGUGAAAUGCGUAGAUAUCGAGAGGAACACCUGCGGCGAAGGCGGGUUGCUGGGCCGACACUGACGCUGAUGCGCGAAAGCCAGGGGAGCGAACGGG